UACGUAGGCAGCGAGCGUUGUUCGGAGUUACUGGGCGUAAAGGGUGUGUAGGCGGUUGUUUAAGUUUGGUGUGAAAUCUCCCGGCUCAACUGGGAGGGUGCGCCGAAUACUGAAUGACUAGAGUGCGGGAGAGGAAAGUGGAAUUCCUGGUGUAGCGGUGAAAUGCGCAGAUAUCAGGAGGAACACCGGUGGCGAAGGCGGCAUCCUGGACCGGUAUUGACGCUGAGGCGCGAAAGCCAGGGGAGCAAACGGG
rnacentral:rRNA from 1 species